CCUACGGGUGGCAGCAGUGGGGAAUAUUGCACAAUGGGGGAAACCCUGAUGCAGCGACGCCGCGUGAGUGAGGAAGUAUCUCGGUAUGUAAAGCUCUAUCAGCAGGGAAGAAAAUGACGGUACCUGCCUAAGAAUCCCCGGCUAACUACGUGACAGCAGCCGCGGUAGUACGUAGGGGGCAAGCGUAAUCCGGAUUUACUGGGUGUAAAGGGAGCGUAGACGGAGGAGCAAGUCAGAAGUGAAAACCCUGGGCUCAACCCUGGUACUGCUUUUGAAACUGUUGUUCUAGAGUGCUGGAGAGGUAAGCGGAAUUCCUAGUGUAGCGGUGAAAUGCGUAGAUAUUAGGAGGAACACCAGUGGCGAAGGCGGCUUACUGGACUUUAACUGACGUUGAGGCUCGAAAGCGUGGGGAGCAAACAGGAUUAGAUACCCGUGUAGUC
rnacentral:rRNA from 1 species